CGCCCUCUGCCGUGUUCGUCAGAAUCGUAUUCGUGUGGCGAACCAACAGAAGACCCGAAGGGUCCCAAUAUGGCUCGCGGUCUGACCGCGGAGAGUCUGAGGCACCCACCUUGAAUUCGGGUUCCCAUCAAGCGGUUCAACGGCACUAUGGCGGAGGGGUU
rnacentral:other from 1 species